AUCCUCUCAGGCCUAUUGGCUAAGAUCAAGUGUAGUAUCUGUUCUUUUCAGUGUGACAACUGAAACGAGGUAUUUUGUACCUCUUGUUGUCUUACUUAUUUUUAGUUAUUGUUAAAGUAUACUUAGCUUGCUAAGGGCUUUAACGCGGUGUUCCUAGUAUCGCACUACCUCUGGGUUACGCCAAGAAAA
rnacentral:snRNA from 1 species